rfam:Camelus ferus unplaced genomic scaffold scaffold547, whole genome shotgun sequence.
GAGGGUUUAGCUCAGCGAUAGAGCAUGUGCUUAGCAUGCACAGGGUCCUGGGUUCAAUCCCCAGUACCUCCA